ACCCUUUAAUGUUUGAUGUUCUAACGUGGACCCGUGAUCCGGGUUGCGGACAGUGUCUGGUGGGUAGUUUGACUGGGGCGGUCUCCUCCUAAAGAGUAACGGAGGAGCACGAAGGUUGGCUAAUCCUGGUCGGACAUCAGGAGGUUAGUGCAAUGGCAUAAGCCAGCUUGACUGCGAGCGUGACGGCGCGAGCAGGUGCGAAAGCAGGUCAUAGUGAUCCGGUGGUUCUGAAUGGAAGGGCCAUCGCUCAACGGAUAAAAGGUACUCCGGGGAUAACAGGCUGAUACCGCCCAAGAGUUCAUAUCGACGGCGGUGUUUGGCACCUCGAUGUCGGCUCAUCACAUCCUGGGGCUGAAGUAGGUCCCAAGGGUAUGGCUGUUCGCCAUUUAAAGUGGUACGCGAGCUGGGUUUAGAACGUCGUGAGACAGUUCGGUCCCUAUCUGCCGUGGGCGCUGGAGAACUGAGGGGGGCUGCUCCUAGUACGAGAGGACCGGAGUGGACGCAUCACUGGUGUUCGGGUUGUCAUGCCAAUGGCACUGCCCGGUAGCUAAAUGCGGAAGAGAUAAGUGCUGAAAGCAUCUAAGCACGAAACUUGCCCCGAGAUGAGUUCUCCCUGACUCCUUGAGAGUCCUGAAGGAACGUUGAAGACGACGACGUUGAUAGGCCGGGUGUGUAAGCGCAGCGAUGCGUUGAGCUAACCGGUACUAAUGAACCGUGAGGCUUAACCUUACAACGCCGAAG
rnacentral:rRNA from 1 species